rnacentral:rRNA from 1 species
GACGAACGCUGGCGGCGUGCUUAACACAUGCAAGUCGAACGGAAAGGGCCUGUGUUUGUGGGGCGCUCGAGUGGCGAACGGGUGAGUAACACGUGAGUAACCUGCCCUCUACUUUGGGAUAACUUCAGGAAACUGGGGCUAAUACGUGCUAGGAUCUCCUGCUGCAUGGUGGGGGCUGGAAAGUUUCGGCGGUUGGGGAUGGACUCGCGGCUUAUCAGCUUGUUGGUGGGGUAGUGGCUUACCAAGGCUUUGACGGGUAGCCGGCCUGCGAGGGUGACCGGCCACAUUGGGACUGAGAUACGGCCCAGACUCCUACGGCAGGCAGCAGUGGGGAAUAUUGCACAAUGGGCGGAAGCCUGAUGCAGCAACGCCGCGUGCGGGAUGACGGCCUUCGGGUUGUAAACCGCUUUCGCCUGUGACGAAGCGUGAGUGACGGUAAUGGGUAAAGAAGCACCGGCUAACUACGUC